rnacentral:rRNA from 1 species
GACGAACGCUGGCGGCGUGCUUAAUACAUGCAAGUCGAGCGAACCAAUUAGAAAGCUUGCUUUUUAAUUGGUUAGCGGCGGACGGGUGAGUAACACGUGGGUAACCUGCCCUAUAGACCGGGAUAACUCGCGGAAACGCGUGCUAAUACCGGAUAACACACCGAAGCGCAUGCUUCGGGGUUGAAAGAUGGUUCUGCUAUCACUAUAGGAUGGGCCCGCGGCGCAUUAGCUGGUUGGUGGGGUAACGGCCUACCAAGGCGACGAUGCGUAGCCGACCUGAGAGGGUGAUCGGCCACACUGGGACUGAGACACGGCCCAGACUCCUACGGGAGGCAGCAGUAGGGAAUCUUCCACAAUGGGCGAAAGCCUGAUGGAGCAACGCCGCGUGAGCGAAGAAGGUCUUCGGAUCGUAAAGCUCUGUUGUAAGGGAAGAACAAGCGCAGCAGUUACUGGCUGCGCCCUGACGGUACCUUACUAGAAAGCCACGGCUAACUACGUG